rnacentral:rRNA from 1 species
UACAGAGGUCUCAAGCGUUGUUCGGAUUCAUUGGGCGUAAAGGGUGCGUAGGCGGCGAGGCAAGUCGGAUGUGAAAUCCCGGGGCUCAACCCCGGAACUGCCUUCGAUACUGGGUAUCUUGAGUUCGGAAGAGGUGAGUGGAAUUGCGAGUGUAGAGGUGAAAUUCGUAGAUAUUCGCAGGAACACCAGUGGCGAAGGCGGCUCACUGGUCCGAUACUGACGCUGAGGUGCGAAAGCGUGGGGAGCAAACAGG